GACGAACGCUGGCGGCGUGCCUAAUACAUGCAAGUAGAACGCACAGUUUAUACCGUAGCUUGCUACACCAUAGACUGUGAGUUGCGAACGGGUGAGUAACGCGUAGGUAACCUGCCUGGUAGCGGGGGAUAACUAUUGGAAACGAUAGCUAAUACCGCAUAAUAUUGAUUAUUGCAUGAUAAUUGAUUGAAAGAUGCUAUUGCAUCACUACCAGAUGGACCUGCGUUGUAUUAGCUAGUAGGUGAGGUAACGGCUCACCUAGGCGACGAUACAUAGCCGACCUGAGAGGGUGAUCGGCCACACUGGGACUGAGACACGGCCCAGACUCCUACGGGAGGCAGCAGGAGGGAAUCUUCGGCAAUGGACGAAAGUCUGACCGAGCAACGCCGCGGGAGGGAAGAAGGGUUUCGGAUCGGAAAGCUCUGUUGUAAGAGAAGAACGGGUGUGAGAGUGGAAAGUUCACACUGUGACGGUAUCUUACCAGAAAGGGACGGCUAACUACGUG
rnacentral:rRNA from 1 species